rnacentral:sRNA from 1 species
UUUUUUUUUGAUUUUUUUGUCUAUCCGCAAUCAUACAAUUAUUUUAUAUUUUUUUGCGCCAUAC